UGCGGGGGGAUCAUUACAAGUGACCCCGGUCUAACCACCGGGAUGUUCAUAACCCUUUGUUGUCCGACUCUGUUGCCUCCGGGGCGACCCUGCCUUCGGGCGGGGGCUCCGGGUGGACACUUCAAACUCUUGCGUAACUUUGCAGUCUGAGUAAACUUAAUUAAUAAAUGGGAACUUUUAACAACGGAUCUCUUGGUUCUGGCAUCGAUGAAGAGGGCAGC
rnacentral:misc_RNA from 1 species